rnacentral:rRNA from 1 species
GAUGAACGCUGGCGGCGUGCCUAAUACAUGCAAGUCGAGCGAACAGAUGAGGAGCUUGCUCCUCUGACGUUAGCGGCGGACGGGUGAGUAACACGUGGAUAACCUACCUAUAAGACUGGGAUAACUUCGGGAAACCGGAGCUAAUACCGGAUAAUAUAUUGAACCGCAUGGUUCAAUAGUGAAAGACGGUUUUGCUGUCACUUAUAGAUGUAUCCGCGCCGCAUUAGCUAGUUGGUAAGGUAACGGCUUACCAAGGCAACGAUGCGUAGCCGACCUGAGAGGGUGAUCGGCCACACUGGAACUGAGACACGGUCCAGAAUCCUACGGGAGGCAGCAGUAGGGGAUCUUCCGCAAUGGGCGGAAGCUUGCCGGAGCAACGCCGCGGGAGUGGUGAAGGUCUUCGGAUCGUAAAACUCUGUUAUUAGGGAAGAACAAAUGUGUAAGUAACUAUGCACGUCUUGACGGUGCCUAAUCAGAAAGCCACGGCUAACUACGUG